rnacentral:rRNA from 1 species
AUUGAACGCUGGCGGCAGGCCUAACACAUGCAAGUCGAACGAGUGGCGGACGGGUGAGUAAUGUAUGGGAACCUGCCCGAUGGAGGGGGAUAACUACUGGAAACGGUAGCUAAUACCGCAUACCAUCGGAUGUGCCCAGAUGGGAUUAGCUAGUAGGUGGGGUAAAGGCUCACCUAGGCGACGAUCCCUAGCUGGUCUGAGAGGAUGACCAGCCACACUGGCACUGAGACACGGCCCAGACUCCUACGGGAGGCAGCAGUGGGGAAUAUUGCACAAUGGGCGCAAGCCUGAUGCAGCCAUGCCGCGUGUAUGAAGAAGGCCUUCGGGUUGUAAAGUACGUUCAGCGGGGAGGCGUUACCCGCAGAAGAAGCACCGGCUAACUCCGUGCCAGCAGCCGCGGUAAUAC